rnacentral:rRNA from 1 species
UAAAACAUAGCAUUAAUGCACCUAAUCCCAUUAGAAAUCCAUAGUUAAAUGUGCUCAGGCUAGAGUAGUACUUGGAUGGGUGACCUCCCAUGAAGUCCUAGUGUUUUAC